rnacentral:rRNA from 1 species
AAUAUUGCCCAAUGGACGAAAGUCUGAGGCAGCGACGCCGCGUGGGUGAUGAAGGCCUUCGGGUCGUAAAGCCCUUUUCUGUGUGACGAGACAGGACGGUAGCACAGGAAAAAGUCUCGGCUAACUACGUGCCAGCAGCCGCGGUAAAACGUAGGAGGCAAGCGUUAUCCGGAGUUACUGGGCGUAAAGCGUGCGUAGGCGGGUCGGUAAGUGGGUGGUGAAAGCGCCGGGCUAAACCGGGCGAGGUCCAUUCAGACUGUCGACCUAGAGGCGGAUAGAGGGGUGCGGAAUUCCGGGUGUAGCGGUGAAAUGUGUAGAGAUCCGGAGGAACACCAGUGGUGCAAACGGCGCCCUGGGUCCGAACUGACGCUGAGGCACGAAAGCGUGGGGAGCGAACGGGAUUAGAGACCCCGGUAGUCCACGCCGUAAACGAUGUCAACUAGGUGUCCACUUGGCUACGGUCAAGGGGGUGCCGAAGCUAACGCAAUAAG